rnacentral:rRNA from 1 species
UACGUAGGGUCCGAGCGUUAAUCGGAAUUACUGGGCGUAAAGCGUGCGCAGGCGGUUGUGUAAGUCUGUCGUGAAAUCCCCGGGCUCAACCUGGGAAUUGCGAUGGAGACUGCACGGCUAGAGUGUGUCAGAGGGGGGUAGAAUUCCACGUGUAGCAGUGAAAUGCGUAGAUAUGUGGAGGAACACCGAUGGCGAAGGCAGCCCCCUGGGAUAACACUGACGCUCAUGCACGAAAGCGUGGGGAGCAAACAGG